AUAAUACUCCCUCCGUCCGGAAUUACUUAUCAUCAAAAUGGAUGUGUCUAGAACUAAAAUACAUCUAGAUACAUCCAUUUCAAUGACAAGUAUUUUCGGACGGAGGGAGUAGUAG
rnacentral:pre_miRNA from 1 species